AAAGUGCUGGGAUUACAGGCCUGAGCCACCGCGCCCGGCCGACUCACGGUAUUUUUUGAUAGAGGAAUGAGUUCUCUCAUUAGGCACCUCCUAUAAUGUAUAUAACAUCAUGUUUUAAACGUGUAGGUUAAAAAUAACACUGUGUAUGCUUAGCUUGGUGAGUUAAAUCACUCACAUUCUCCACCAAGCGCUCCAGCUGGGGAAUUAUGGGGGAUGCAGAGCAGCUGAGGCUCCGUUUGGCACCACCCCUCUGAGGGUGCCCUCCGAGGCCCCAUCCCAGGGGCUGCGGGGAAGCCGGGCCUGGGGACCCCCUCCCACCCUGGGCUGAGCCCACACCCCGCUGCCUGUGCUGCCUGUCCCCGGCUUCCAGGUCUCCGCUCCUGCGCGCCAGGCAGCGCUCCACUUCCGCGGCUUCGCCCUUGACAGCGCCCUGUGGUUCUUCCGAUUCGGUACCCCGAACCCCUGUAGACGUGGCCUAGGGAGCCCCGGACCGCCGGCCCCUGCGGCUCCCAAAGCCGAAUAACUUCUUCAAGGUGCUACAGCAGAAAGCAAAGGGGAUGCAGAGGUGAAGGUCCACAGCCAGUUCCUCUACUGAUUCCCUCCAGGCAUAAAUGUUCAAUCUAACGGCUUUGGUUGGCACUUUCACCUCAGCACUUACCUAUGCCUACAGGUUUGUUCAAUCGCAGCUCUUCGAUUUUGAAUUAUUUAAUACCCAAUUAUUGCAUAAUUUAAUAACCAAACUAUUUUAAUAGUUUACCAUCUCUGCAACCCUGAAUUAAUUUUUUCUUUGUUUAUAAAAC
rnacentral:lncRNA from 1 species